UGGCCCUGGUGUUCCCCUGUACUGGGGCAUAUAAAGUUUGCAAGUCCAAUGGGCCUCUCUUUAAGUCCUAAUUUUUAAUCAACUUCUUUUAUUAUGUUUUUGCCCUUUGAGACCAGUUAUAGGAAUUAGAUGUUCCCCGAUUAUUAAAAAAUAAAUUGUCUUUCUCUACCCCUAGUCUAUACUUUUUUAACUUGCAUUUAAUUCAUGAGCUGUCUAUUUUUAUUUAUUACACCUCUCAAAAAUAACUCUCUGGUUCUUGAUCCCAUUGGAUGGUGACACUGCUUUUGGUGGUUGUAAAGGGGGGAAAAGUGUAAUGAAGCUGGCGUCACAGCACUGCAGUCUGUUACAGAGCACUGGGCCAGAUGCACGCCAGCUUGAGCUCUCUGUAAAAUGGAAUCAUCUGAAAAAUAUAAAUAAAUGUGAAUCUAAAAUUGAUGAUGAUGAUGAUGAUGAUGAUAGACACUGCCUUGGUCUAUUCGGAAUACUGUGAUAAUUUUAUCAAAGUUCAACAAAAUAAUUACACAGUUUGUUACUUGGCUUAGCAUGUUACUAUAGAAUUGGUAUCAUGACAGUUUCAUAGAAGGUAUUUUGAGCAUUUUCAGCCUAUCACCUUGCAUUGUCCCCUUCAUGUCCACUGAUACACUGUGUAUUACCAAGUAGCCCACCUGUCUCUUCUUGUCUGUUUAAAAGGCCCCCAAUGAGUCUGAGGAGAGUUGCCUACAGGAGCAUGAGUGGGGGUAUUUACAGGAUCACAGACAACUUGCCAGUGGCUGUAUUACUGGAAAGAAAAAAAAUGUCUCUUCCCCUGCAGCUACCAUUAACUGCCUAUAUAUACCCCAGGAGAGGUGGGGCCUCUUGAGCCCCUGCCCUAUCUCCAUGACAGAAUUCUAAUAGGCCCAACCUCAUGCAGAACUUGUGCAUGAUAUUGAAGCUGUUACAAGUUCCAGAGUACAGUGGCCACAUCAGCAGCACACCCCCCUUGCUUUCAGCUUAUAAUUUACAAUUGUACAUCUACAAUGUAAUAUAAGUUACUUUCUGAGCCUUGGGUAUCUCUAGCUGCUUGAGAGGGACCUCAAACAUACUUUUUUUUUUUUUUUUUUUUUUUUACUGUAACUGCUUUUGCUUGUAUAGCUUUUUUUUUUUCUUUUAAGAGUGUUGAAUCUAACUAGUGUAGGAGUCAAGGAAAAUGCAAGUCUCUGCCCACUAACCAGAGAACUUGUUUUGUUCUUGAAUAGCUCACAAAUGGCUUGCUGUUGUGCUUAAGUAGGUUAAUCUAUAACUAUGAUUUUAAAAUAUAAUUUAUGAAUAUCAAUUUGCAAACAUAAAUACUAUAACCCUAAAAAGUUUGUCAAUUCAAGGGCAGGAAAAAAUAUAUAAGACUUUUACAAGGUAGAAUUCUAUGGUUAAAUUUGAAAUUAAGAAGAAAAGUAUCAAAGAAAGUUUCUUAAAGCAUUAUUCUGUAAAAUACAUGUUUGGUAAGUCAAACAUUGGAGAAAUAUGAUAAGUCUUGCAACGUGUAGAAAGUGGUUUUUCUAAAAAUCAGUGGUCACCAAGAAUCAGUAAAAGUCAUGGCUUUAAGUUUUGGUAGACCAAGCGCCCCACCCAGUAGAUCCAACAUCAGAGUAGAUAGGAAGCAAAUGUUUGCCCCCACCACAUACAGUGAAGGCACCAAGCCUGGAAGACACAGAAACAUUUGUUGUCAGCCUAAACAGUAAGCAAGGAGAACCUGGUAGUCACCAUCAAAAGGAAUGGGACGUGGGGAUUUGAUUUAAAAUGUUUUCAACACGGAUAAAACUGAUCUUUCCUAAAAAUUCCCCCGUAAGAAAGAUUAGGAGACAUUUUCUGGCUAAAAGCUUUGAUGGAGAGGUCAUAAGCUUGCUCCAUGGUCAUAAUCUUAAAGUCCUCUUAGCUGUUUAUAGUUUAGAUAUUAAAGAAGUAUCAACAGACUUUGCCAUCCUCAGUCUUUGUUCUGUGAGUAAAAGUUAUAUGAAAAAACAUGUGUUUGUUUGUUUGUUUGUUUGUUUGUUUAUUAGUUGCCCAUUACCAGUCACCUUUCCCCUUUCUCUCAUUAAUCCCAGUAUCUAGUCAGCUGACUACCAGAGUUUUGGGGUACAUUCUUUGCAGACAGCAGUUGUUCCACAUGGUACUUGAAAAUGCAACUUAUAUAGUUAACUGGGCUACCUCCCCACUCUACUCUCCUGCCUUAUGUUCCCUCUGCCAUGCUCCUUGCAUGUGACAGUUCCAGAAACUUCAUCCUUUCUGCUGUCACUCUUUAAGGGUAGUUUCUGACAGCACACACCAUCCCUGCUUUCAAGCCCUCACACACACCGUGGUCCUCUGCUUAUGGGACUCAUCUCCUCUGCAUGGAAAGUUAAUAUCGAGUUCCCUGCUCACUCUCAGCAGCUGCCACUUUUUCUCAGGGAACAGUUCACAGUUUCACUCUGUAUGUUUUUGGUGAUAACCUGAUAGCCAUCUCUUCUCCCACAAGGUUACAAUUUUUCUAUCAACGAGGACCAUAUCCUUGUAUUUUAAUAACUGUGUUCCUACACCUGUUUUGAUGCGUGGGUUGUAACAGAAGCAUAAUAAAUACUCUUUAACAAAUUUAAUGCUACUAGAAUGCACUCCUGUUUCCUUUAGAUAAGGCUGUUCUGUCAAGUAUCUGUUUAAAGACAAACAACUACUUGUCUCUGUUGUGAUAGCCAUAUCUGACGGCCACUUAAUAAAUUUCCAGGUGACAGGCAUAUACAAAACUAUACAUGCUAAUGGACUAGAAAGAUUUUCUAGUAAUGGAAUUCUCAGACAGACUAUGAGAGACAUUACGAAGAAAAUG
rnacentral:lncRNA from 1 species